rnacentral:rRNA from 1 species
CCUACGGGUGGCAGCAGUGAGGAAUAUUGGUCAAUGGGCGCUAGCCUGACCCAGCCAAGUAGCGUGAAGGAUGACUGCCCUAUGGGUUGUAAACUUCUUCUAUAUGGGAAUACAGUGCCGUAUGUAUACUGCUGUGCAUUUACCUUAUGAAUAAGGAUCGGCUAACUCCAGUCCAGCAGCCGCGGUAAGACGGGGGGUCCGAGCGUUGUCCGGAUUUAUUGGGCUGAAAGGGAGCGUAGGCGGGUUGUUAAGUCAGUUGUGAAAGUUUGCGGCUCAACCGUAAAAUUGCAGUUGAUACUGGCAUCCUUGAGUACAGUAGAGGUAAGCGGAAUUCGUGGUGUAGGGGUGAAAUGCGUAGAUA